CUUAAGGAUUGUCCCGACGGUUUUCCGAUUUCGGAAUGAAAAGGGAAUGCAGUGCGGGCCGGAUGGCCUCAUGCUGCAGCUGCCCCCGCAACUGUAGGCGGAGAGCCUUCUGUCACAUGCCACUGGGAGCGAUCCCCGGGAAGGCGACAGGGGGCGGUGCUUCGCGAGCCAGGAGACCUGCCGUCAGCCGUUGUCACGC
rnacentral:ncRNA from 2 species